UGCCUCAUUUUGGUAUCCCAAGGACAGGCACCACUCUCUUGGUGUCUGGACUUAGCAGUGAGGCUACAGGAAACACAGGUUUAGCUUCCAUCAUUGUGAGAUAAAUUCCAUUGGUGACAAUGAGGCCUGUAAUACCU